ACUGAUGAAAUCAGCGAGUUUAUAACCUUAGCCGGAAGGUUUGGGUAAACUUUUGAAACUUCACCGUGCUGAGGAUAGAGCAUUGUAAUUAUUGCUCUUCAAC
rnacentral:ncRNA from 1 species